AGCCGGGCCCCCCAGCGGUCGGCGGGACGGCUCCCGGCUGCAGUCUGCCCGCCCGCCCUGCGCGGGGGCCGAGUCGCGAAGCGCGCCUGCGACCCGGCGUCCGGGCGCGCUGGAGAGGACGCGAGGAGCCAUGAGGCGCCAGCCUGCGAAGGUGGCGGCGCUGCUGCUCGGGCUGCUCUUGGAGAUGCACAUUGCUUCUGAUGCAUAGAUGAGGAUCAGAAGUCUUCAUCCAGUACAGCAGACUGAACCGACUACUGUGGGUCCUGAAGGCACCAUACUUUCACUUCCUGUUUUCCCAUUCCUUUGACUGCCGUUUCAACUCCCACCAUACUUGAAGACCCUCAGGUGGUGUCAUGGAAGGCUACUCUCAUUGUCCACUUAGUGCACAGAAGCCAAAAAGCAUUGCUGGUAUUUCGAAGGACUCUAUCCAACCUAUUAUAUAUGCCGCUCCUACGAGGACUGCUGUGGCUCCAGGUGCUGUGUGCGGGCCCUCUCCAUACAGAGGCUGUGGUACUUCUGGUUCCUUCUGAUGAUGGGCGUGCUUUUCUGCUG
rnacentral:sRNA from 1 species